rnacentral:rRNA from 1 species
UGGAUUGGUGCCUUCGGGAACUCUGACACAGGUGCUGCAUGGCUGUCGUCAGCGUCGUGUCGUGAGAUGUUGGGUUAAGUCCCGUAACGAGCGCAACCCUUGUCCUUAGUUACCAGCACGUUAUGGUGGGCACUCUAAGGAGACUGCCGGUGACAAACCGGAGGAAGGUGGGGAUGACGUCAAGUCAUCAUGGCCCUUACGGCCUGGGCUACACACGUGCUACAAUGGUCGGUACAAAGGGUUGCCAAGCCGCGAGGUGGAGCUAAUCCCAUAAAACCGAUCGUAGUCCGGAUCGCAGUCUGCAACUCGACUGCGUGAAGUCGGAAUCGCUAGUAAUCGUGAAUCAGAAUGUCACGGUGAAUACGUUCCCGGGCCUU